AUGGUGCAGUGGUUCGAGAAGGCCAGAAAGAUGUGGGCGAAGGAAUGGUCAUCAAGAAAUGAGGCUACGAUAAAGCUGGCUGAAGGCUUCUUUAAUAUACUGAUGAUGACAGGAUUGUCCCAGACUCCCAACCAGUGAGAAAGAGAAGCUCAUAUAACUGAUCAGUUCAGCAGCUCCCUGGAGCUUGAAGUCUAGUAAAAGGAAAAUCUGGGUAUCUGGAUCACUGCUGACUUGGCAAAAAGACUACUCUUAAAACAACACUAUAUCAGAUGGUAGUUCUCAUCCCCCUCCUCAGAGUCUUUCCCCGGCACAGUGCCCUGACCCAGAAGCAGCUGCACACACAGCAAGAAACCUGCUCAAUAAGAGCUGCUGUCCAUCCUCCACUAAGAAAAGUCAAGAGUUCAAGCUUUCACAAAGCACAUGACAUAUCCAAGAAGGAGUUCCAGCAGCUUGAUUAAGUCGCCAUACACCUUUGCCUUCACCACAACCAGUGAAAGAAAUCAAGCCAAAGCAGACAAAGCAGAAGAAAACCUCAGAACAGGAGAAUAAAUGGCAGCCAAGCAUCAAUAAUAAGAAAGCCACAGGACGACCUCAAAGAGCUACAGCCUUGACCAGAACCUACAGAGAGUCGUCUGACUCGGACAACCAGUCCAGCCUUUCAGAAAGUGAAAGAGCACCACCCCCUAAGGAAUGUGGUUUUCAGCACAGUCAGAUCACUGGGAUCAUCAUUAAUUCUAAAUGCCUUUAUUUAAAGUUUCACAUAAAUUCACUUCCAGAAUAAAAAUGUUGUGAUCAUUUAAUCUCCAUGAUGGCAUUCGAGAUGUUUAUGUCUUCAUCUUCAAUCACAAAGAAAUUAAGGUUUUUGAGAAAAACAUUCCAUGGUUUUUCUUCACAUAAUGGACUUCAAUGGGACCCAAUGUACUUAAGGUCCAAAUUGCAGUUUUAGUGCAGCGUCAAACAAUCCCAACCGAGGAAUAAGGGUCUUGUCUUCCAAAACAAUCUUUCCUUUUCUAUUAAAAUCAAAAAUCCUCAAAAACUUAAUUUCUUUGCAACUGAAGAAAGAAAGUCAUGAACAUUUUGGAUGCCAUCGGUGUGAGUAAAUUUUCAGGAAGUUUUUAUUCUGGAAGAGAACUAAUCCUUUAAGACUUUCAGGGUCUAGACAGACUAAUGAUAAAAAUCCUGAUGAUCAUUAUGUCUCCGUCUUUUCCUAAUAGAAAAAAGCAAUUGGGCCACACUUCAGCAGAAUGUCCCAGCUCAAGCCACAGAACAAGGAGAAAAGAGAGAGAAAACCCCUGUAGACACAGCGAAACAACAAAGUGAGAAGAAUGUACAGAAAAAGGCGAAGAUUCUGCGAGAUCAGAGGAAUGAUAAAGGCAAGAAGAAGUCUAGUCCAGAUCAUCUUCCAGUGAAGAAGUCGUCAUCUGCUCAGGAGUCGCCCAGCAGACCAGGAAUCUUGGACUGCGAGAUCCCUCUGUUGAGAAGAUGAGAUGCUCCAGUAUUAAACUGCUGAUGAAGGAUCAGAGCAGCUCAGAGGAAGAAGAGAAGGACAUAGUCACAGAGAACAGGAGAACAAAGAGAAGUUACCAAAAGGCCUGAAUAAAAGGGCCAAGGAAACAAUAAUAUCAACUGAGGAAGUGGAGACACUGUCAUCUUGUACAAGGUCCAGUUACAGGCAUACCAGUGUGGAGGCAGACAAGGACCUGACCUGACCCAGGAUGCUCUAAAUACUCUACUCUACAUACUCUGUCAGUGUCCAAGUACACCAGCACAGGUCAGGCAUGACCCUUGACUCAGAAGAGGUCAUGUUUCCACCCUAUAACAGGUCUGAUACUUAGCCCUUUUGUCGAGUAUUUUGUCGAGUAUUUAGAGGCUGGAGAAAGUUAAACAAGUCCUAGUGCAUGAAAUAGCAAAAAGUAGACGCUUAUCAGGAGAAAGGAAACAAGAGGUGAAAAUAUAUAAGCUGCUGCACAAACAUGAGAUGAAUGCCAUAGAUUUCCCAGCUCAAAUGUAAUUGUAAACUUAUCUUCCCUUGAUAACUGCUCUGUUCGCAUAAUAUGUAAUCACGACCUGUUUAUGACUAUAAAACAAUCCAUGGGUUGCGCUGGGUUGUAGUAACAAACAGGAUUUUCCUGCCAACCUAACAAGAUCUAACAAGGGGAAAAACAGAAAGGUUUAUGCAAUCCUGGUUAUUUCUUCACCCUGUAAUGAUAUUAUGCAAAGAAUCUUUUGAUUUCUUCGGAGCUUUAAAAAAAAGGGCAUUGUAAGUCAUGUUUCAGAGAAUGUAUCUAUCUCUCUAGAUUCAAACAAAGUAACUGAUUGUUUGCUUUGAAUAGUUCUGUUUACAAAGGAUUUGUAAUGUAAGCGCUUGUCUUUCUCAGUCUUGUUGUUUUGUCUCAGAUUACAGCAGUUAAAAAGCACCAUUCAGACUGACAUGUGUGAAAGUCUAUAAUAUGAGAAACAAAUCUUCUUUGUGGAGACGUCUUUAAUGAAGAAGAACAUGAAGUCAGUUCAGGAGCGUUUCUUCAAAGAAAUGGUUUCUCCAGUGGCCGUCUGCGGUGGAGACGCAGCCUCUCGGCCACCACUCGUCCCCAGGGCGCUGGAAGAAUAAGUGAAUCCCAUGAAUGAAGCCACGGCUCUGGAAGAGGCACCUCCAGGAUUUUAUCAUGAACGCCGCUUUCAGCAUUUUCUUCACAGAAGAAAACCACCUCUUAGGGCCUGUGAAACCUGAUGGAGAGGAAAGAAAUCAACAAAGUGUUGCCAGCUUGCUGUGGCGCCGGAUGGGAGGGGUGUGGACUCCACUCACCAAACAGCUGGAGCGCAGCACCUUCUCCUGCUCCAUCACAUCUGUAACACACAAGACAGACAGCAACCAUCAGCAUCUAUCGGUGACAUGAACAUGUAUACAG